rnacentral:rRNA from 1 species
GACGAACCGUGCGAACGUUAUUCGGAAUCACGUGGCUUAAAGCGCGUGUAGGCGGGUCGGCGCGUCGGACGGCUGAAAUCCCCCGGCUCAACCGGGGAAGGGGCGCCGAGACGGCCGGCCUGGAGGGACGUAGGGGGGCUGGAACUUCCGGUGGAGCGGUGAAAUGCGUUGAGAUCGGAAGGAACGCCCGUGGCGAAAGCGAGCCCCUGGACGCUACUGACGCUGAGACGCGAAAGCCAGGGAGCGAACGGG